rnacentral:rRNA from 1 species
CCGGAGAGGGGAGUGAAAUAGAACCUGAAACCGUGUGCGUACAAGCAGUAGGAGCUCCGCAAGGAGUGACUGCGUACCUUUUGUAUAAUGGGUCAGCGACUUACUGUUCGUGGCAAGCUUAACCGUAUAGGGGAGGCGAAGGGAAACCGAGUCUGAUAAGGGCGCAUAGUCGCGGGCAGUAGACCCGAAACCGGGUGAUCUAGUCAUGCCCAGGGUGAAGGUGCGGUAACACGCACUGGAGGCCCGAACCCACUCCCGUUGCAAAGGUAGGGGAUGAGGUGUGAUUAGGAGUGAAAAGCUAAUCGAACCCGGAGAUAGCUGGUUCUCCUCGAAAGCUAUUUAGGUAG